rnacentral:rRNA from 1 species
AUCUUGGUCAGGAUGAACGCUGGCGGCGUGCCUAAUACAUGCAAGUCGAGCGAGGUAGCUUGCUACCUAGCGGCGAACGGGUGAGUAACACGUAGGUAACCUGCCUUGAGACUGGGAUACCCGAGCGAAAGUUCGGCUAAUACCGGAUAACAACGGGGACGGCAUCGUCUCCGCUUGAAAGGUGCGUUUGCACCACUCUUAGAUGGACCUGCGGCACAUUAGCUAGUUGGUGAGAUAACAGCCCACCAAGGCAAGGAUGUGUAGCCGACCUGAGAGGGUGACCGGCCACAAUGGGACUGAGACACGGCCCAUACUCCUACGGGAGGCAGCAGUAGGGAGUUUUCGGCAAUGGGCGAAAGCCUGACCGAGCAAACCGCCGCGUGAGUGAAGAAGGCCUUCGGGCCGUAAAGCUCUGUUGCCGGGGAAGAGUGGUCCAAGGGGACUUGGACAGGGACGGUACCCGGCGAGGAAGCCGCGGCUAACUACGUGCCAGCCGCCGC